rnacentral:rRNA from 1 species
UGGCGGACGGGUGAGUAACGCGUGGGUAACCUGCCCCAUACCGGGGGAUACCACCUGGAAACAGGUGCUAAUACCGCAUAAGCGCACGGGAGCGCAUGCUCCUGUGUGAAAAACUCCGGUGGUAUGGGAUGGACCCGCGUCUGAUUAGCCAGUUGGCAGGGUAACGGCCUACCAAAGCGACGAUCAGUAGCCGGCCUGAGAGGGUGGACGGCCACAUUGGGACUGAGACACGGCCCAAACUCCUACGGGAGGCAGCAG